GGAAUCAAAAGAGAAAGGAAAAGGAAAUGUCCCUGUUUGUUUGGUGAGGCUCCAGUCUUCGCCAUUGCCUUUGGACCUGGGUCUCUAAUUUCUUCAGGCUUCCGAUGCAGACUCUUCAUACUUCCAAAAAAUCUCUUUGGCCUUCCAGUGCAGACUCAGCGGUGACUCCACAGUGAGCUUCCAGGCUUUCAACUUGGCUGCUGCUGGAUCCUCAGCUCUCCAGAAUGCAGACACCACUGCGACUCUUCUGCCUGUGAUCCUGCGAGCCUACCUACUAUGCCGCUUUGUGUGAUUACACUCACAUUUUGUUUUGAUUCUGUUCCUCCUAACCCACCUCCAUGGCCCCUGCAUCAGGACUCAGGAAUCCCAGAACAGCUAAGGAGUCUCACAGCGUCAAGAGAUGGAAUCUUAAUGCACCGCAAGUGUGCUGCUGCUUACUACCUGGAGGUGGGGAAGAAUACAAGCCACAGGACAUCAAGGAAGCCACAAUAGCACCACUAAAGACACUCACGAAAGAGGACUUCCAGAGCUGCUGCAGAAAGAGGCGAGAACCAUGGGCUAAGUGUCUGAAGCAAGCAGAAGGAUUUUGAG
rnacentral:lncRNA from 1 species